rnacentral:rRNA from 1 species
GGGCGUGUGUGCUGGUAUGAGUCUUCCAUCCUUCUAGAGAGCCACGCCUGCUGUUCACUCAGCUGGGCGUGUGCGAUCUAGAUCAUUUACUUUGAAAAAAUUAGAGUGUUUAAAGCAGGCUUAUGCCCGAAUACAUUAGCAUGGAAUAAUAAAAUAGGACUUCGGUUCUAUUUUGUUGGUUUCUAGAACUGAAGUAAUGAUUGAUAGGGAUAGUUGGGGGUGCUAGUAUUCAGUGGCCAGAGGUGAAAUUCUUGGAUUCACUGAAGACUAACUACUGCGAAAGCAUUCACCAAGGAUGUCUUCUUUAAUCAAGAACGAAAGUUGGGGGAUCGAAGACGAUCAGAUACCGUCGUAGUCUCAACCAUAAACUAUACCGACUAAGGAUCAGUGGACGUCUUAUUUCGACUCCAUUGGCACUUUAUGAGAAAUCAAAGUCUUUGGGUUCCGGGGGGAGUAUGGUCGCAAGGCUGAAACUUAAAGGAAUUGACGGAAGGGCACCACCAGGAGUGGAGCCUGCGGCUUAAUUUGACUCAACACGGGAAAACUCACCAGGUCCAGACAUAGUGAGGAUUGACAGAUUGAAGAUCUUUCUAGAUUCUAUGGGUGGUGGCGCAUGGCCGUUCUUAGUUGGUGGAGUGAUUUGUCUGGUUUAUUCCGUUAACGAACGAGACCUCGGCCUUUAAGUAGUCCCUCUGUCCAUUACGGAUGGAGGUCACUUCUUAGAGGGACAAACGG